UCCAAGUUACAGAUCAACACCGG
rnacentral:siRNA from 1 species